AAGCAGGGGAUCGUAAGACCUUGUGCUUUUGGAGUGGCCGAUGCCUGAUUAGCUAGUUGGUAGGGUAAUGGCCUACCAAGGCGACGAUCAGUAGUUGGUCUGAGAGGACGACCAGCCACACUGGGACUGAGACACGGCCCAGACUCCUACGGGAGGCAGCAGUGGGGAAUUUUGGACAAUGGGCGCAAGCCUGAUCCAGCAAUGCCGCGUGAGUGAAGAAGGCCUUCGGGUUGUAAAGCUCUUUCAGUCGAGAAGAAAAGGUUGUGACUAAUAAUUGCAACUCAUGACGGUAUCGACAGAAGAAGCACCGGCUAACUACGUGCCAGCAGCCGCGGUAAUACGUAGGGUGCGAGCGUUAAUCGGAAUUACUGGGCGUAAAGGGUGCGCAGGCGGCUUUGUAAGUCAGAUGUGAAAUCCCCGGGCUUAACCUGGGAAUUGCGUUUGAAACUACAAAGCUAGA
rnacentral:rRNA from 1 species